rnacentral:miRNA from 1 species
CUAUUGAUUUGUUAUGGACUGA